rnacentral:tRNA from 1 species
GCUGGGGUGCAGCUCAGUGGCAGAGUGCUUGCCUAGCACAUAGGAGGCCCUGGGUUUGAUUCCCAGCACCUGUA